UGAUCUUCGCGCAGUCCUCUCAUGUCGACUUUCUGCGGCAGGUACGGAGUUUAGGUCCAGUGUCUCUCUCCACUGAUGCGGGAAUAACGACGGCAGCUGCUGGUGAAUGUUAAACACACAGACGCCGACUUAUAAGUUUAACGACCAUCGCGAGUAAAUGGGAUUCAACGUCUUCCGUACAGAAUGUGAAGAUUUCCUUAAAGGAUGCGGGGAAUUACAGGCUCGUUUGCUGCGCUGUUAUUCCUGCUUUUGGGUUUUGUCUCCGUCUCCUCGGUUGAUGCCGAUGGACAUCAGAAAUGUUUUGUGCAAAGCAGGGAAAGGGAAGCAGAACGGAUAGAUGAUGAGUUUGAGGGAGACAGUUUAUCUGCUCCGCUUAAUGUGACCAUCAAAGCACUAGAGGGGAACUCUGCGAUAGUCACAUGGGACAUUCUGGAAGGCGAACCAGUCAUCGGGUUUGCCAUCACCCAGCAGAAGAAGGACGUUCGUAUGUUGAGAUUCAUCCAAGAAGUCAACACUACCACACGUUCUUGUGCACUUUGGGAUUUGGAGGAAGACACGGAGUACAUCGUCCACGUGCAGUCCAUUAGCAUGAGUGGAUCCAGUCCACCCAGUGAACCAGUUCUGUUUCGCACACCCAAAGAGUCUGAAAAACUGGCCUCGAAAAGCCCAGAUGAAGUGACCAUGGAGGAGGUUGGCCAGUCCAGUCAGCUGAGGGCUGGAGAGCUUAUUAUCAUUGUGGUCGUUCUUGUCAUGUGGGCAGGUGUGAUAGCUCUCUUUUGCCGCCAGUAUGACAUCAUCAAAGACAAUGAGCCCAACAAUAACAAGGACAAAGCCAAGAACUCAUCAGAGUGCAGUACUCCUGAACAUCCUACAGGGGGGCUGCUGCGCAGCAAGGUCUAAUCCCGCCUAAACCUUUCGGCAAUAAUAGGCUUUAGCCUCAGGACAGUGCUCUGAGACAAAACAAAUAAGCCAUCAAGUUGUGAAGCCCACAUCUCAUCUUCAAUCGAACGACUUCAUGGCAUUCCCAUCAACCAACAUGGACCCUUUGGUGCUUGUCUGUUUGGGACAUUAAUGCAAAGCUGAGGACAAAAUCUGGACAGGUGGAUUCCAGAACUGCAUCACUGAAGGUUCGGAGUGAGUUGUUGAGUUUUAGUCUACAACUGAAGCUGAAAACGGCCACCUUAGAGCUGAAAGACUCAAACCUAGCUAAGACCAGAGACACUAUGCCACCUGGAGCUGUGUAUCCUCACAGAGAUAACCGGAAACCUGCAUGUGGCAAAUCCUAAAUAAACCAGGACGGUGUUGUGAAAUGAAGUGGAAAAGUGCUUUUCCGAGCCCACCGCUGUUAUCGGUUCUGAGACGGGAUUGGGACUAUCAUUAAACUUCUGUCACUGACAGGGAUAGCAUUUAGAUAUUUCACUCCUCUAUCUCGUAUACCAUACGUUACACACCUUCUCAUCCACAGCUCUCGUAUUUGGUACUUUCAUCCAGCCUUCUAGUAUUGAUUUAUUUACGCUAGUUGCUCCCUCUAUGCACCCCCACCCGAUUCCACCCACAUUUUUUAACUUUCGGUCUCCAGUAGCCAAUCACGGACAGUCCGGUGUGGUUUAAUCGGUGCAGUCGAAUCUUUCUUCUAAGCACUCUCGCUCUCAGGGCAUUCAGGAAAAACAUCACACAAGAAUAUGACGGACCAACACUCCACUGAGACCGAACUGCAAAUUCAUCAUUUGGUGAAGAUCUCCAUAUACUAAUAGUGAUAGAAAUCUAUUUAAUCGCUUGUGUGUUUCAAGUUAAUCAACAGCUUGCUGUCUCUAAUGAGCACAUUAUUGUACAGUGAUGGUUACUUUGAUCUUCAUACUACAUUCAAUGACAUAUUCUUCAGGAUUACGGCUAUUCUAUUUACGGCUUUGAUGUGCUGCUACGAUAUAGAGUUGGCUAGACUCCAUCAGCUAGAGUCCCCACACGUCAAGAACAAAGAAUUCUGGGAAUGCAGGUCAUAGAGGUCUCGAAAGCAUCGAUUUCCUCAUGUGACAGUCGAUGACCACGAGGGACUGAUGCGAGUGCGGUACAACAUUGCAGCAGUUCAACUUUAAUGAGGUUAUUAACCAUACAGUAUGCUUUUCCUGAAGACAUGCACUAGACUGUUAAAGUAUUUCAUCUGAAGCAUAAAAGAUGCCAUUUAAUCUUCAAACCAACGUAUUGAGGUACAGCGGAAUUGAAAUAGAGCCAUCUCAUUUUUCAAAACGUCUCCAAUUGAAAGACGUUCAAAUACAAAGAAUCGUAACAUGCUUGAGGUGCUUGGGUUUUCGAUGGGAGCUACAUUGUUCAGAGGGAUCGCGCAGUUAAUCAACCUGAAGGAAUCUCGGCACAAUUAAACAUUGCUGCGUCUGUGACCAUUACCUCAUCGUCUCGAUCACCAUGACGACAGCUUAACAGACUCAUCCCUUAAUUCCGAAGGCAUCUAAAAGUCAUCCUCGCAUUUUAGCCUGUGUAGGAAAGCGUAUAUUUUUCCUUUAAUAACUGCUAAUUAACCAUGGCCAUAGGGGAGAGACCAGGCAGACUGCUGGGUGAAAAAUGGCUGAUAUCAAUAUUCUGUCUGAGCCUGCUAGCGUAAACGAAGAGAGGAGGGAAAGAGGUCGGAUCUCAACGCAGGCUCAAACCGGUUAUCUAUUCGGUAUUAACAGGCAGCACUUAUAAAUCUCAAACGAGAUGAUGGCGAUUUAAAGAGAAAUUCAGAAAAGCGCAAAUAGAGGCUAUGUUCGGAAUGGGCUACUAUGGCACACCAUGCAGUUGAAACUGUAUGCUGGGAUUUUUUUUUUUACGAUGUACAAGACACUAUGCAAGAAGAGUUCGAUAUGACAUUUGCACAUCACCUCAACACGCUGGAUGUUUAAUUCAGCAACUGUUAAAUAUCUUGCGUUUUUAAUAAGAUUUCAUGUUAAAAUGUGAACGUUUGGCAAUGAGAGAUGUUAAAAAUCACAAGACCAAUUUAAAGGGAUAGUUCACCCAAAAAUUAACAAAAUAACGUUUUCAUAUAUUUUUUUCUUUUAAACUAAAUGCAUUUUUUUAUUCUGUUAAACACAAAAUAAGAUAUUUUGAUAAAUGAUGGUAAGUGCACAGUUGAUGUACCCAUUGACUUCCAUAGUAUUUCCAAGUCAAUGGGUACCCUCAACUGUUUUCUUACCAUCAUUUAUCAAAAUAUUUUCUUUUGUGUUUGAAAGAAGAUAGAAUCUUAACGUAAGGGUGAGUAAAUGAUGACAGAAUUAUUAUUUUUUUGGGUGAACUAUCCCUUUAAGUCAUGGCAUUGUGGGAUACCAUGUUCAAUGUAGUGUUCUCUGCUGUAUACGGCACAUUUUGGGAAUUGUAUAAGUGGGAAUCCCAUAAAACAGUAUCAGAGUUCAAAGGAAUAAAGUAUUUUGCAUAAUAAAAAUCAAGCAUUUUUCAUAACCAUGGCACUGUAAUACAGUUUAUGGCAUUGUGGCCAUUAAAGCACAUCUUCCCACAACUAUCGUAAUGCAAUAAUAACAAAUGAUUAUGCAAAAUAUUAUUUAUUCAGCAGGUGACCUGUGUAUAUAUAUAUAUAUAUUUUUUUUGGUUAUCCAGACAAUUUGCAUGCACCACACUGCAGAAACAGCUUGGUAGUUUGCUAUUCUGAACAUAGCCAUAAUGAUAAUCAGCUUACAUGAUGCCCUCGAAAAUGAAAGCCAGCGGUAGAUCCUUGUUAUACAGCGUCACGCAAUCAGGCUCCAAAUUUCCCAUUUUAAAUGAGCAGUGUAUCCCCCUCCCGCAAUCCAAGCUUAUCCUACCUUAUUCUUCAGCUCUUAAAAGAACUCU